UUAAGACGAAAAGACCCUGUGGAGCUUUAGGCACAAGGCAUAUCAUGUUAAACACCCCUGAACAAAGGGCUGAAAUAAAUGAACCCUGCCCUCAUGCCUUAGGUUGGGGCGACCAUGGGGAAGCAAGCAACCCCCACGUGGAAUGGGAACACUUCUUUUUUUCUCCCUCCUACAAGCAAGAGCUGCAGCUCUAGCAAACAGAAUUCUGACCAAACUAAAGAUCCGGCAACGCCGAUCAACGGACCAAGUUACCCUAGGGAUAACAGCGCAA
rnacentral:rRNA from 1 species